ensembl:lncRNA
GGGUAUUCUUGACACCGACGGAAGUGUGCUGGAUGCCCCUUGGACCAAACAGCAUCCACCACAGCAGUAGGUUCCUCAUAGUAGCCAUCGAUGAAAACUGUUAUCAUCUGGAAAGACAACCUCCGGGCUGAGGGUGGAGAACACAGCAUCCUGCACAGGUAGCUGGGCCGGUUCCCUGCAACGACAGCCACAGGCGCAUUGAGGACCUUGUUGUCUGGGGGUGGGUCAGGGCUGAACUUGGAAGGCUUGGGGUCCUUGCAGCUGUACCCGUUCUCGUCGCCCUUGAUUUUGCUGCAGAAGCAGCGGCUGUGACGGUUCCGCUCCGUGUCUGCCCAGUGGCACAUCUUCAUCUCUGCCUCUUCAGCUGAGCUUAGUGGCACAGCUGUCUUCAGCAGAACUGAACCCCCACAGGAGGAGAGGGCAGGUGAGUCAGAAUGUUUCUCCCCAAGGAUAGGACCUCCUUUUCAUCCCACAAAGGCCCAGGUGUCUCUCCAGCCCAGGACAGGGCCAGCCUGGCUGUCGCGCCUCCUCAGCAGAGCCUUGGCUGUGUCCUUGAGAUGGAAGGAGCCCUUGUCCUUAAUGAUGCAGAUGAACCCCCGGCCAGGUGCCGCCAUGUUGAGGAACAGCAACCAUGGCCUCACCUAUAUGAGGAGCGAGCAUGCCUGCUAAGUCGCUUCACUCGUGUCCUACUCUUUGUGACCCCAUGGACUGUAGCCCGCCAGGCUCCUCUGUCUAUGGGAUUCUCCAGGCAGAUUCUUCACUGUCUGAGCCACCAGGGAAGCCCAGGCUGUAGGACUCCAGCUCUAACUGUGAAACAGACACAGUUCUGUGCCCUGGCAUGUGGCAAGGACUCUGAGGUCACAACCUGGUUUCAUGAUGAGGAGAUAAUGACUGCAAGUGAUGAAUGAGAUAACUAUGUUUUCCAAGGACAGCAAAGGAAAAAUGCAAAAAGAUAUCUCCUGGUAUUCUCAUCGUGGGAACUUCCCUUCAGCUAUUAAUACAAAAUGUCAGUGUAGUAGGCUAGGUGAUGGCCCUGGAGAUAUCAGGUCAAACACCCGGAACCUGUAAAUGCUGCUUUAUCUGGAUAAAGGGACUUUGCAGAUGUGUGUGUUUUUUUUUCUUCCAGAUUUCUUUUCAG